ACCUAAUAGAUACCCGGGUAGUCCACGCCCUAAACGAUGCGAACUGGAUGUUGGGUACAUUACGGUACUCAGUGUUGAAAGCUAAACGCGUUAAGUUCGCCGCCUGGGGAGUACGGUCGCAAGACUGAAACUCAAAGGAAUUGACGGGGGCCCGCACAAGCGGUGGGGUAUGUGGUUUAAUUCGAUGCAACGCGAAGAACCUUACCUGGCCUUGACAUCUGUCGAAUCCUGCAGAGAUGCGGGAGUGCCGCAAGGAACGACAAGACAGGUGCUGCAUGGCUGUCGUCAGCUCGUGUCGUGAGAUGUUGGGUUAAGUCCCGCAACGAGCGCAACCCUUGUCCCUAGUUGCCAGCACAUCAUGGUGGGAACUCUAGGGAGACUGCCGGUGACAAACCGGAGGAAGGUGGGGAUGACGUCAAGUCCUCAUGGCCCUUACGGCCAGGGCUACACACGUACUACAAUGGUCGGUACAGAGGGUUGCGAAGCCGCGAGGCGAAGCCAAUCCCA
rnacentral:rRNA from 1 species